UUGCAGCUUCCAGCUGUAGCGGAGUUCUCCACCAGCGAGACAAUGGGCCACUCUGCUGACAGGCUGGCUGCCGCCUUUGGAGUUUCACGCUGGG
rnacentral:miRNA from 1 species